rnacentral:rRNA from 1 species
CGCUUAUUGCGCGGCGAUAACCUUACACACAUUGUCUAGUUUUUUUGAACUUUGCUUUGGGUGCAUCAGCCUAGCUGCGUGCCCAAAGGUCUAAACACAUUUUUUAAUGUUAAAACCUUUAACCAAUAGUCAUGAAAAUUUUUAACAAAAAUUAAAAUCUUCAAAACUUUCAACAACGGAUCUCUUGGUUCUCGCAACGAUGAAGAACGCAGCGAAAUGCGAUACGUAUUGUGAAUUGCAGAUUUUCGUGAAUCAUCGAAUCUUUGAACGCACAUUGCACCCUCUGGUAUUCCAGAGGGUAUGCCUGUUUGAGCGUCAUUUCUCUCUCAAACCUUCGGGUUUGGUAUUGAGUGAUACUCUGUCAAGGGUUAACUUGAAAUAUUGACUUAGCAAGAGUGUACUAAUAAGCAGUCUUUCUGAAAUAAUGUAUUAGGUUCUUCCAACUCGUUAUAUCAGCUAGGCAGGUUUAGAAGUAUUUUAGGCUCGGCUUAACAACAAUAAACUAAAAGUUUGACCUCAAAUCAGGUAGGACUACCCGCUGAACUUAAGCAUAUCAAUA